rnacentral:rRNA from 1 species
UCAAAACAUGUCUGUUGGAGGAUUUAUCGAAAGUCUGGUCUGCCCACUGAUUGUUUAUUAAAGGGCCGCGGUAAUUUGACUGUGCAAAGGUAGCAUAAUCAUUAGCUUUUUAAUUGAAAGCUGGAAUGAAUGGCUAGAUGAGAAAUUAACUGUCUUUUUAUAUGAAAUAGAAAUUAACUUUUAAGUGAAAAGGCUUAAAUUUAUUGGGGGGACGAUAAGACCCUGUAAAACUUAAAUACUUUGUUUUGCUGAGAUUAAAAAGUUUGGUUUAAUUUAUUUAGUGUAAUGGGUAUUUUGUUGGGGUGACACAGAUAUAAGUGAAUAAAUAACUGUCUGUUUAAAUUUUAUAGUAUUUUUAGAUUAGGAUCCUCUUAUAGGGAUUGAAAGAGCAAGUUACUUCAGGGAUAACAGCGUAAUUCUCUUUGAGAGUUCUUAUCGACAAGAGUAGUUGCGACCUCGAUGUUGAAUUAAGGUUUCGGAAAGGUGUAGUCGUUUUUCUAGUAGGUCUGUUCGACCUCUAAGAUCUUACAUGAUUUGAGUUCAAACCGGUGUGAGCCAGGU